rnacentral:lncRNA from 1 species
CUAUGUGGGGGGCAUGGGCGAAGUUCGUCCGCCGGACUUGGAAUGGCCCCAGACUUGGCGGGCGGCCUCCGUGUGCCAAAAAUAGGCCACGGGCACAGCCGCGCCCAAAAAUCAGCCCCCGAAGGUCGGGGUUCCAAGACCCACCAGCGGAAAAAUGGCCAAAAAAAGGGUGGGCUAUAGCCUUGGUGGGGGGCGAGGGCGAAGUUCGUUCGCGGGACUCGGAAUGGCCCCAGACUUGGCGGGCGGCCUCCCUGUGCCAAAAAUAGGCCACGGGCACAGCCGCGCCCAAAAAUCAGCCCCCGAUGGUCGGGGUCCCAAGACCCCCCAGCGGAAAAAUGGCCAAAAAACGGGUGGGCUAUAGCCUUGGUGGGGGUCGUGGGCGAAGUUCGUCCGCGGGACUCGGAAUGGCCCCAGACUUGGCAGGCGGCCUCCCUGUGCCACAAAUAGGCCAUGGGCACAGCCGCGCCCAAUAAUCAGCCCCCGAAGGUCGGGGUCCCAAGACCCCCCAGCGGAAAAUUGGCCAAAAAACGGGUGGGCUAUAGCCUUGGUGGGGGGCGUGGGCGAAGUUCGUCGGCCGGACUCGGAAUGGCACCAGACUUCGCGGGCGGCCUCCGUGUGCCAAAAAUAGGCCACGGGCACAGCCGCGCCACAAAUCAGCCCCCGAAGGUCGGGGCCCCAAGACCCCCCAGCGGAAAAAUGGCCAAAAAACGGGUGGGCUAUAGCCUUGGUGGGGGGCGUGGGCGAAGUUCGUCCGCCGGACUCGGAAUGGCCCCAGACUUGGCGGGCGGCCUCCGUGUGCCAAAAAUAGGCCAUGUGCACAGCCGCGCCCAAAAAUCAGCCCCCGAAGGUCGUGGCCCCAAGACCCCCCAGUGGAAAAAUGGCCAAAAAACAGGUGGGCUAUAGCCUUGGUGGGGGGCGUGGGCGAAGUUCGUCGGCCGGACUCGGAAUGGCACCAGACUUGGUGGGCGGCCUCCGUGUGCAAAAAAUAGGCCACGGGCACAGCCGCGCCACAAAUCAACCCCCGAAGGUCGGGGUCCCAAGACCCCCCCGCGGAAAAAUGGCCAAAAAACGGAUGGCCUAUAGCCUAUGUGGGGGGCGCGGGCGAAAUUCGUCGUCCGGACUAGGAAUGGCCCCAGACUUGGCGGGCGGCCUCCCUGUGCCAAAAAUAGGCCCACGGGCACAGCCGCGCCCAAAAAAUCAGCCCCCGAAGGUCGGGGUCCCAAGACCCCCCAGCGGAAAAAUGGCCAAAAAACGGGUGGGCUAUAGCCUUGGUGGGGGUCGUGGGCGAAGUUCGUCCGCGGGACUCGAAAUGGCCCCAGACUUGGCGGGCGGCCUCCCUGUGCCAUAAAUAGGCCAUGGGCACAGCCGCGCCCAAUAAUCAGCCCCCGAAGGUCGGGGUCCCAAGACCCCCCAGCGGAAAAAUGGCCAAAAAACGGGUGGGCUAUAGCCUUGGUGGGGGGCGUGGGCGAAGUUCGUCCGCCGGACUCGGAAUGGCCCCAGACUUGGCGGGCGGCCUCCAUGUGCCAAAAAUAGGCCACGGGCACAGCCGCGCCCAAAAAUCAGCCCCCGAAAGUCGGGGCCCCAAGACCCCCCAGCGGAAAAACGGCCAAAAAAUGGGUGGGCUAUAGCCUUGGUUGGGGGCGUGGGCGAAGUUCGUCGGCCGGACUCGGAAUGGCACCAGACUUGGCGGCGGCCUCCGUGUGCCAAAAAUAGGCCACGGGCACAGCCGCGCUCAAAAAUCAGACCCCGAAGGUCGGGGUCCCAAGACCCCUCAGCGGAAAAAUGGCCAAAAAACGGGUGGGCUAUAGCCUUGGUAGGGGGCGUGGGCGAAAUUCGUCCGCGGGACUCGCAAUGGCGCCAGACUUGGCGGGCGGCCUCCGUGUGCUAAAAAUAGGCCACGGGCACAGCCGCGCGCAAAAAUCAGCCCCCGAAGGUCGGGGUCCCAAGACCCCCCAGCGGAAAAAUGGCCAAAAAACUGGUGGGCUAUAGCCUUGGUGGGGGGCGUGGGCGAAGUUCGUCCGCCGGACUCGGAAUGGCCCCAGACUUGGCGGGCGGCCUCCGUGUGCCAAAAAUAGGCCAUGUGCACUUCCAGCGCCCAAAAAUCAGCCCCCGAAGGUCGUGGCCCCAAGACCCCCCAGUGGAAAAAUGGCCAAAAAACAGGUGGGCUAUAGCCUUGGUGGGGGGCGUGGGCGAAGUUCGUCGGCCGGACUCGGAAUGGCACCAGACUUGGUGGGCGGCCUCCGUGUGCAAAAAAUAGGCCACGGGCACAGCCGCGCCCAAAAAUCAGCCCCCGAAGGUCGGGGUCCCAAGACCCCUCAGCGGAAAAAUGGCCAAAAAACAGGUGGGCUAUAGCCUUGGUAGGGGGCGUGGGCGAAGUUCGUCCGCGGGACUCGGAAUGGCACCAUACUUGGCGGGCGGCCUCCGUGUGCCAAAAACAGGCCACGGGCACAGCCACGCCCAAAAAUCAGCCCCCGAAGGUCGGGGUCCCAAGACCCCCCUGCUGAAUGGGGCGAGACUUUGCGAGACUUUGCGAGGGUCCUCGGGGUGCCAAAAAUAAGCCACGGGCAAAGCCGCGCCCAAAAAUAAGCGCCCGAAGGUCGUGGUGCCAAAACCCCCCAGCGGAAAAAAGGCCAAAAAACGGGUGGGCUAUAGCCUUGGUGGGGGGCGCGGGCGAAGUUCGUCCGCCGGACUCAGAAUGGGGCGAGACUUUACGAGGGGCCUCGGGGUGCCAAAAAUAAGACGCGGGCAAAGCCGCGCCCAAAAAUAAGAGCCCGAAGGUCAUGGUGCCAAAACACCCCAGCGGAAAAAUGGCCAAAAAACGGGUGGG